UGAGGGACACUGUGAGAAUGCUUGCCUUC
rnacentral:piRNA from 1 species